rnacentral:rRNA from 1 species
UACGUAGGGGGCAAGCGUUGUCCGGAUUUAUUGGGUUUAAAGGGUGCGUAGGUGGCUAUCUAAGUCAGUGGUGAAAUAUCUCAGCUUAACUGAGAGGGUGCCAUUGAUACUGGAUAGCUUGAGUACAGAUGAGGUAGGCGGAAUUGACGGUGUAGCGGUGAAAUGCAUAGAUAUCGUCAAGAACACCGAUAGCGAAGGCAGCUUACCAAGCUGUAACUGACACUGAGGCACGAAAGUGUGGGGAUCAAACAGG